rnacentral:rRNA from 1 species
UGGGGAAUUUUGGACAAUGGGCGCAAGCCUGAUCCAGCCAUGCCGCGUGCAGGAUGAAGGCCUUCGGGUUGUAAACUGCUUUUGUACGGAACGAAAAGGUGCCUUCUAAUAAAGGGCGCUCAUGACGGUACCGUAAGAAUAAGCACCGGCUAACUACGUGCCAGCAGCCGCGGUAAUACGUAGGGUGCGAGCGUUAAUCGGAAUUACUGGGCGUAAAGCGUGCGCAGGCGGUUUUGUAAGACAGAGGUGAAAUCCCCGGGCUCAACCUGGGAACUGCCUUUGUGACUGCAAGGCUGGAGUGCGGCAGAGGGGGAUGGAAUUCCGCGUGUAGCAGUGAAAUGCGUAGAUAUGCGGAGGAACACCGAUGGCGAAGGCAAUCCCCUGGGCCUGCAGUGACGCUCAUGCACGAAAGCGUGGGGAGCAAACA